GAAAUAAAAAACGUGACCAUUGUUGAGUUCGACAGUGGCCGCCAUUUGUUUAUUUUCAAACACAUGUCCGGCAUCGUAACACCCACUCUUUAUUUUUAAAUUAGAAAAUAUUAAUCAAGCGGGAAAUAAAUUAUUUAAAACGUAUUAUUGUAGCCAAAUCAAAAUAGUGUCGUAUUGUUUUACAGGUACCAUAUUCUAUACAUGGAGAUAUAAAGGAGUUAACCCAUUCAUGGCCAACCCAAGACCCGUCGAGGCGGCGACCACGAAGGCGUUAUGAAGGCGUUUUAAAAAACUUGUAAAUAUUUGUCACACGCUAUUAUACAUUAUUAGUUAAUGGUGAGGUGGUGACUGUUUCAACUGCCUUGUUUUAUAUUGUAACGAAUUUUUUAAAUGAAUAUUAACAUCAUUGUAAGUAGGUAAUUGCCUACCCAAUACAACGAUCACCGAAUGUUAUGACAUAAAAGUACAGUCCUCGUUGCCUUACCCUUCACACAAAAGAAAAUAUUAUUAUACUACGGCUUGGUAAAUGUUGCUUGCCAUCGUCUAAACACUAAUCGGUUGUAAUAUGGUAGAACAUCAAACAGCUUCAACAUGUAAUAAGCUUUAAAACCAGCCAAUUUAGUACAUUACGAUACAAGUGCGAAAAAUAGGAAAUUCGAAACGAGUGGCGAUAAAUUAAAACACGACCGAAGGGAGUGUUUUAAAUCGACACGAGUUGCGAAUUACCUAUUCGCACAUGUAUCGUACAACGUUUUACAGUACAUAUGGCCCUUUAAAUGUUCGACACAGUAACGUAAUAUGCUACUUCUCGCACUAGUGCUAUAAAGUAGCCCCAUAUGUACUGUAAAAGUUUAUUUUGGCCUGCUACGGAAACAUUUGUCGUUUUUACAAGUAGCGCCAGGCCACGGUGACCCAUACCCUGAGUCAUGUCAAUAACUUCUAAAAUAAACAUAUUUUUGGUAUCUUUGAAAUUCGGAUUUUUUUGUUUGCUUGCAACGCGUAUUGCACUAAUAGUAAACCAAAAUUGAAUAUUCUAGGCUCUAUUUUCAUUAAAAAAAACUUGUAUAUAAUUUUUAAUCGUAAUAUACCUUAUAGAAAUGGUUGUUAACUUGGUGGAUACGUACGUUAUUAACUUAUUACGUCAAAUUAUGUUUCGUUUAUGUUUAAAUCAGAAUCUCUUCAUGACUCACAUGUGAGUCACUGGCCUUGCGGAACUGUUUGAGCAUGACCCAUACGCUGAGUCGCUGGCCCUGAAUGGGUUAAAACUUAAGAGUGACAGAGAAAGAUGCUCUCAAUUUGCGAACUUCGGCGUUCGGGCCUACACACAAUUAGACGUUACGACGACGUGCCGUGGCACGUUGCGGCGUCGUGACGUCCAAAUCUACGGCGUGUAACGUAAAAAAUCACGUCACGGCAUUGUGCCGUGGCACGUUGCCGCAACGUGCGACGUCACGACGUCGUGUCGCAGGCCGUCGAUACGUUGCCGUCGAAAUUUUAUGCCGCAGUUGAUCAAGAGCCAUGGACCGCACCAGACUUGUCUUCAUCCUGCUGCUAUUAAGAAGUCGCCUAAUUGGGACCGUGCGAAGUGCGUGGUGGGGGUAAAUAAAGCGAUCCCAGCGCAUAAGGUGGUAAAAAUUUGAACUAACUGCGGAUAGCGUCUUUAACAUUUCGUACGAUUAUAUGGCUCGAAAUGAAACUUUGGUUUACGAUUACUCCUGAAAUAUUCAUUUAAAUUGUAUGAUGUAAGAGACCAUUGUAAUUUGAAUGAAAUUCUUAAUAUAACUAACGUAUUUAUUUUGAUAAUUGUUAAUAAUGUAUCCAUGUAAAUAGCUUUGCAAAUGCCACAUAUUACGUGAUCUUUUUCUAGAAGUUAAGAAUGGAUAUAGUAAGUUACCCUUAAAAGAUAGACAUUUCACAUCGCGGACUUUUUUGUAGACCUAUGAAUGAGAAACAACUCCACCAUACAUUGUGUUGUUAUAGCUCAAACGGAUUAGGCAGCGUUCUCGAUUAAAGCUCCUAGCCAGCGUGAUUUUUUCCGACAACAUCGUUAUAUUUCAAACAAUUUACACAAAACCUUAACAAGUUAUAUACUUAAGCCUUCCUCAAGAAUCACUCUAUUGAUAGAUGAAAGUCAGGAAGUUCAGGAAAUUAAUCUUUUAGGUAUAACAAUAGACUCCGGAGUAAAUUGGAAAGCACAUAUUCAACAAGUUAAAAGUAAAAUGUCAAUAUUUAUAUAUGCCCUUUAUAUACUAAAAUCAAAUACUAAUUUUGAAUGUGCAUUAUCUGCGUACUACGCAAACGCAUGCGCAUGGCUCAGAUAUGGUGUUGUGCUAUGGGGGGGUAGCACCGAAGCGAAACAACUGUUUGUAAUGCAAAAAAAGUGUGUCCGCGUCCUUGCAAAUGUGCGUUUUCCAAACAGUUGUAGCCAAUAUUUUAUUCAGUAUGGAUUAUUGACAUUGCCCUCUAUUUAUAUACUACAAUGUGCCAUCUUUGUUCGUGAAAACCCCCACUUAUUCGAAGUGAAGCAAGAUAAGCAGAGAACUAGAGAGCAGUACAGAAAUAAACUCUUGAUCCCAAAAUGCAAUUUACAAAUGUAUAAAAAUAGCCCACACUACAAUUGUAUCUUAAUUACUAAUAAGAUCCCAAAUUCCAUUAAUCAAGAACCUCGACACGCCGUAUUUAAAAACAAGCUAGAAACAUUAUUAAUAGAAAAAUGUUAUUACUCUGUAAAAGAUUUCCUAAAUGAUAAUAAUUUAUUAUAAACGUAAUUGAAUCUUAUUUUAAGUAAUUGGACUGCAAUAGUUACUAAAUUUACUUUGACUGAAUUUGUUUUAAUUAAUGAUUGAUCUGAUUUAUUUUAUACAUUUAUUGAUUUUUGUGUUAUUUCUACUUUAAUUUAAAUUAUUUUGUUUUAAUUAUUUUAAUUUUAAUAUUUUUGUUUUGUUUUGGCCUAAUUUAAUUAGUUAUAAGUAUGUUGUGUGCCCUAGCAGGGCGUCAUGGACUGACAUUAUUACUUAUUUAACACCUUUUAGAUUUUAUGUACAUGAUUUUACAACGAAAUAAAUGAUAUGAAAGUCGUAUGAAAAUCC